rnacentral:rRNA from 1 species
CUACGUGCCAGCAGCCGCGGUAAUACGGAAGGUCCAGGCGUUAUCCGGAUUUAUUGGGUUUAAAGGGAGCGUAGGCUGGAGAUUAAGUGUGUUGUGAAAUGUAGACGCUCAACGUCUGAAUUGCAGCGCAUACUGGUUUCCUUGAGUACGCACAACGUUGGCGGAAUUCGUCGUGUAGCGGUGAAAUGCUUAGAUAUGACGAAGAACUCCGAUUGCGAAGGCAGCUGACGGGAGCGCAACUGACGCUUAAGCUCGAAGGUGCGGGUAUCAAACAGGAUUAGAUACCCUGGUAGUCCGCACAGUAAACGAUGGAUGCCCGCUGUUGGUACCUGGUAUCAGCGGCUAAGCGAAAGCAUUAAGCAUCCCACCUGGGGAGUACGCCGGCAACGGUGAAACUCAAAGGAAUUGACGGGGGCCCGCACAAGCGGAGGAACAUGUGGUUUAAUUCGAUGAUACGCGAGGAACCUUACCCGGGCUUGAAUUGCAGAGGAAGGAUUUAGAGAUA